CGUGUGGUACUUUGUUGAAUGAAAUAAUUCAUUCAAGCUGAGCAGCGACACGGCCUAAAUAGAGGU
ncrna:Psychromonas sp. SP041 L31-Gammaproteobacteria ribosomal protein leader